AUGGCGUGGUGGUCGGACAAGCUGUCGCUGGGCGGGCUGCAGGACAUCGCCGGGGCUGUCAACAAGAUCAGCGAGAGCGUCAAGAACAUCGAGAAGAACUUCGACAGCGCGCUCGGCCUCGAGGAGAAGCGCGACGACGCGGAGGAAGGGUCAGGAUCCCGUACAUCUAACUCUGAUGGAAUUGGAUUCUUUAAUCCUGUCAUGGCAUUCAUGGGACAUAAUGGCGAGGAGAGUUCUACGGAAGUAUCAGAAAAGCAACCAUCACCAAAGCAUGCACCAGCACUAGAAGAAAAUCAUCGGGUCGCCACCGAGCCACCUACAUCUGAAGCAGAUGCCUCUGAAGUACCAGUAACAACACAAUCUCCAAAGCACCCUUCAGAAUUACAAGAAAACGUUAGCAGCUCCGCUGAGUCACCUGUAUCUAAGGCGGAUGAUUCUGAGCAGUCUGUAACACCACAAUCUCCAAUACAUUCUUCAGCAGCAGAAGAUAAGCAUGAUGGCUCCACUGAGGCACCUGGAUCGGAGGGGGGCACUUCUGAAGUAUCAGAAACAGCACAGUCCUCAACAUAUCCAUCUGUAGCAGAAGAAACUUAUGGCGGAUCUGUUGAGACCAGUAACUUUGUUGAGAAGGAAACCCAGGGUCAUCAAGACACUGAAUAUUCUGAUCCUAAUGAUGAAGCUUUACCGAGUCAGCCUGAUGAGUCUGUUAGGGACAUACCUGAUGAUAGAACGUCUUCACCUAACAAAUUGGAUCAAUCAAGUGUUAUUGGAACGGAAGAAUCUGUGGAUGCUGGAAAUGAAGUCACUGAUGAUGGGAACAUGCGGUCACAAUCAGCAGAUUCCAUGGUCGCCAGUUCAGAUGAUGUAAAUAAAACUAAGGUGAACAUCGUUCAAGAAGUUGAUGUCCAAAAGGAAAUAAUCAGCCCACCGGAGAGCAGUGAUAUUGCUGACAAAGCCAGUCACGGGGAAGUCAAAGUACAUGAUGGCCAAACUAAUACAACCAAGAAUGGGGAAGGGAACAAUCAAACAGAAGCACAUGCUGUAUCUGCUGUCGAAAAUGAGGAUAAUGCAACGGCGAAGCUUGAAAACCUUAGCUCAAAGUCAAUAAUUGUGGACAAUAGUCCAGACUUGCAAAAUGAGUUGGUACCUGCUGCUGCCUACACGCCUGUUGGUCCAGUAGAAGUUGAUUCUCAUGCAAAUGAUUCGAGAGAAGAGGAAAAAAUUCAGGACGCUGUUACAACCACAAAUUCUCUGGAAUCUGUUGGUUCUGUCAUUGAACUCGAGAAACUAAAACGUGAUAUGAAGAUGAUGGAAGCUGCAUUGCAAGGUGCUGCAAGACAGUCCCAGUCCAAAGCUGAUGAAAUCGCUCGACUGAUGAAUGAGAACGAGCAACUGAAAUCAACAAUUAAUGAGCUAAAGGGCAAUAAGUCGGUUGAGGAAGAAAUGGAUGCACUUAAGGAUGAAUAUCACCAACGUGUAGCAACUCUUGAAAGGAAGGUGUAUGCACUAACCAAAGAACGAGAUACAUUAAGGAGAGAGCAAAAUAAGAAAAGUGAUGCGGCCGCUCUUUUGAAAGAAAAGGACGAGAUUAUCACUCAGGUCAUGGCUGAAGGAGAAGAGCUAUCGAGAAAGCAGGCUGCUCAAGAAUCUACAAUACGAAAACUGAGAGCACAGAUUCGUGAGUUUGAAGAAGAAAAACAAAGGUUGAACUCAAAGAUUCAGGUUGAGGAGACAAAGGUUGAGAGUAUUAAAAGAGACAAGGCAGCAACUGAAAAGUUGCUACAAGAAACAAUAGAAAGAAAUCAAACUGAGCUCGCAGCUCAGAAGGAGUUCUACACGAAUGCUCUUAAUGCAGCGAAAGAGGCUGAGGCAUUGGCUGAAUCAAGAGUCAACACAGAAGCCAAAGUUGAGCUCGAGAGCCGUUUAAGAGAAGCCUGUGAAAAAGAAAAUAUGCUGAUUAACACAAUUGAGGAGUUGAGGAAUGCUCUCACCAGACAAGAACAGGAGGCUGCUUUCAGGGAAGAACGGUUAAAAAGAGAUCAUGACGAUCUCCAAAAGCGCUAUCAGGCCAGUGAACUUCGUUAUAAUGAACUGGUCACGCAAGUUCCUGAGUCGACAAGACCACUCCUAAGGCAAAUUGAAGCCAUGCAGGAGUCAGCUGCUCGAAGGGAAGAAGCUUGGGCUGGUGUGGAGAGAACCUUGAACUCUCGCCUUCAGGAAGCGGAGGCGAAAGCUGCUGCCUCAGAAGAAAAGGAGCGAUCUAUAAAUGAGAGACUGUCACAAAAUUUAUCCCGCAUAACUGUCCUGGAGACCCAGAUUACAAUUCUUAGGACAGAACAGACACAGCUGAGCCGAUCUCUUGAAAAGGAGAGACAAAGAGCAUCUGAAAGUAGACAGGAGUACCUAGCAAAUAAGGAGGAGGCGGCAUUACAAGAAGGACGCGCCAAACAGCUUGAAGAAGAAAUAAAGGAGCUUAGAGCUAGGCACAAAAAGGAGCUGCAAGAAGCAGCAGAACACAGGGCGCUGCUUGAGACGGACCUUGAAAGGGAAAAGGCUGCCAGGGCAGAACUUGAGAAAACAUCUUCCCGCGACUUGCCUAAAAUUCCACUUCCAGAUCAAACAAAAAAUGCUCCCCAAAGAAAGCUCUCUAGUGUCAGUAGUAUGGAAGAAAGCCACUUCCUUCAAGCAUCAUUGGACUUGUCAGAUAGUGCUUCGUUGGAGAGGAGAAUGUCUGCAGACAGUAAUAUGUCAUACUAUCUGAGGAGCAUGACUCCAAGUGCUUUUGAAUCAGCACUCCGUCAAAAGGAUGGAGAAUUGGCUUCUUACAUGUCACGCUUGGCCUCACUGGAAUCUAUUCGGAAUUCCCUGGCAGAGGAGUUGGUAAAACUGACGGAACAAUGUGAAAAGUUGCGGAAUGAAGCUGCUGCUCUGCCUGGCCUAAAGGCUGAACUGGAAGCACUGAAACAAAGACACUUUCACGCUCUAGAACUUAUGGGGGAACGUGAUGAAGAGUUGGAAGAGCUACGGAAUGAUAUUGUUGACCUAAAGGACAUGUACAGAGAACAAGUGGAUCUUCUUGUUAGCCAGCUCCACACAUUGGGCGCCCGUGUAUAG
rnacentral:rRNA from 1 species